rnacentral:lncRNA from 1 species
GCCUAAUUAGGCUCAAUAAAAUCCUAAUCAAAUCAAGAAUUGACUAAGCCCAACCCCUGAUCAAAUCAGGAACCAAACCAUCUCGACGAUUAGGUCAACUCUUAACCUAAUCGGGUCAAACCCAACAGAAUCCAAUUCAAUUGGACUUGAUCCAAAAAUAAUUACUCAAUCAAAUUGAGUUAAUUAGCGAUCAAAUCACUAAUUAAAUCUCUAUAAAUAUUGAAUCCAAAUUUGAUGGGCAAUCGGGUAUCAAAGUCCAUCAAUAUGAAACC